rnacentral:rRNA from 1 species
CAGCCGCCACGGUAAUACGUAGGGUGCAAGCGUUAAUCGGAAUUACUGGGCGUAAAGCGUGCGUAGGCGGUGAGUUAAGUCUGCUGUGAAAUCCCCGGGCUUAGCCUGGGAACUGCAUUUGUGACUGGCGGGCUAGAGUAUGGCAGAGGGGGGUAGAAUUCCACGUGUAGCAGUGAAAUGCGUAGAGAUGUGGAGGAAUACCGAUGGCGAAGGCAGCCCCCUGGGCCAAUACUGACGCUCAUGCACGAAAGCGUGGGGAGCAAACAGGAUUAGAUACCCCAGUAGUCCCUGUCUCUUAUAA